AGUGAACGCUGGCGGUAGGCCUAACACAUGCAAGUCGAACGGCAGCACAGUAAGAGCUUGCUCUUACGGGUGGCGAGUGGCGGACGGGUGAGGAAUACAUCGGAAUCUACUUUUUCGUGGGGGAUAACGUAGGGAAACUUACGCUAAUACCGCAUACGACCUACGGGUGAAAGCAGGGGAUCUUCGGACCUUGCGCGAUUGAAUGAGCCGAUGUCGGAUUAGCUAGUUGGCGGGGUAAAGGCCCACCAAGGCGACGAUCCGUAGCUGGUCUGAGAGGAUGAUCAGCCAAAAUGGAACUGGGAAACGGUCCAAACCCCUAGGGGAGGCAGGGGGGGGGAAUAUUGGAAAAGGGGGGAAAGCCUGAUCCAGCCAUACCGGGUGGGUGAAGAAGGCCUUCGGGUUGUAAAGCCCUUUUGUUGGGAAAAAAAAGCAGCAGGUUAAAACCCCGCUGUUCUGACGGUACCCAAAGAAUAAGCACCGGCUAACUUCGU
rnacentral:rRNA from 1 species